CCGGCUUUAGCUCAGUUGGUAGAUCGGAGGACUCCAGAUCCUUAGAUAGCUGGUUCGAAUCCGGCAAGCCGGA